rnacentral:rRNA from 1 species
CAGCAGCCGCGGGAAUACGUAGGGCGCAAGCGUUGUCCGGAAUUAUUGGGCGUAAAGAGCUCGUAGGCGGUCUGUCGCGUCUGGUGUGAAAUCCCGAGGCUCAACCUCGGGCUUGCAUCGGGUACGGGCAGACUAGAGUGCGGUAGGGGAGACUGGAAUUCCUGGUGUAGCGGUGGAAUGCGCAGAUAUCAGGAGGAACACCGAUGGCGAAGGCAGGUCUCUGGGCCGCAACUGACGCUGAGGAGCGAAAGCAUGGGGAGCGAACAGGAUUAGAUACCCCUGUAGUCCCUGUCUCUUAUAC